AGAGUUUUAUGGUUCUAUUCUCUUCGAGAGAUCAAUGCAUGAAUCCCCUAACCUCUAGUCUCGUGUGCCACGUGUAGAUCAUGUACGGUCUGCACGUCCAUAGCCAUACAACAUUUGGCGAUGUGAGAUGACGUGUGUCUUCAUGCAUGGUGGUUGACCUAAUAAGGUUUCCUAAACAUGAUGGAGACACAUAACAAUAAC
rnacentral:lncRNA from 1 species